rnacentral:rRNA from 1 species
UACGUAGGGUGCAAGCGUUAAUCGGAAUUACUGGGCGUAAAGCGUGCGCAGGCGGUUCGCUAAGACAGAUGUGAAAUCCCCGGGCUUAACCUGGGAACUGCAUUUGUGACUGGCGGGCUAGAGUAUGGCAGAGGGGGGUAGAAUUCCGACGUGUAGCAGUGAAAUGCGUAGAGAUGUGGAGGAAUACCGAUGGCGGAAGGCAGCCCCCUGGGCCAAUACGUGACGCUCAUGCACGAAAGCGUGGGGAGCAAACAGG